CAGUCGCCGCGGUAAUGCGUAGGUGGCAAGCGUUGUCCGGAAUUAUUGGGCGUAAAGGGCUCGCAGGCGGUUUCUUAAGUCUGAUGUGAAAGCCCCCGGCUCAACCGGGGAGGGUCAUUGGAAACUGGGAAACUUGAGUGCAGAAGAGGAGAGUGGAAUUCCACGUGUAGCGGUGAAAUGCGUAGAGAUGUGGAGGAACACCAGUGGCGAAGGCGACUCUCUGGUCUGUAACUGACGCUGAGGAGCGAAAGCGUGGGAAGCGAACAGGAUUAGAUACCCCCGUAGUCCCUGUCUCUUAUAC
rnacentral:rRNA from 1 species